UAUUAUUUUUAUAUUGGACCUGACCAUCUUGCUGCUCCAUUCCUGUUCUGUAUAUCCUUGGUGGGGAUAUAUACCACCUACACCUUAUGGACUGAGUAAACCGUUACCUUGCUCCACUUCAUGCAAGUGAGAGUAGUUUAACUCUCUUUUACACUCCCGUUUUACAGUGUGCAGUAUUUGUUUUGUUUUUCUUCCCUAUAUAUACUGCACCACCUAUAUAUCCUAGAUUGGGGAUCAUACCACUGCACGCCAUACCUUAGGAGCUAAUUUAGAGUCUCUUUAAUAUGUUAGUGUAAACACUUAUAC